rnacentral:tRNA from 1 species
AGCGGGGUGGGGUAGCCAGGAUUAACCCGCUGGGCUCAUAACCCAGAGAUCACUAGUUCAAAUCUAGUCCCCGCUACCA